AUGAACACAUCCUGCAAAAAAGAAAUAUCUAUGAACACAUUGCCGGUUCCAAAAAUGUUCAGAAAAAUGUUUCAUUACUCAGAAACACGGGGGCGGAGGGAGUGGAAUUCAAAUGCCAGCAACAUGCCAAUAGGUGUUCUUGAAAGAUCUCUUGAAGACGAUAAAUAUGGUUACAAUUACCACAAAAAAGAAGACAAAUAUGGUUACAAAAACUUAAAUGCCCAGGUUAAUUGUUGUGAUCUUUUUUUUUGCAGGGUAAUUGGUGUGAUUUGUAGUCUUCUUCAACAAUACGUAAACUUGUAG
rnacentral:rRNA from 1 species